rnacentral:lncRNA from 1 species
CUAGGGAAUCACUGGAAAAUCCAGGAGACUAUACUCACAAGGAAAACAAGACAAAACAGGCCAUACUGAGACCUCAGAGACUCUUUUCUGAGGAGUUCAGCAAGAUGUGCUUAGUUUUCCACACACAUUAUUCAUUAUCCUGGUGAGCUUUGCUGUAUCGAUGGAGUCACUUGCACACUGAUUCUACUGCUCCUCUAAGCAUUGGAGUAUCAUUGGGAGCUGCGGACAGCACUGUGACGUCACACCACAGGCAUCCAAAAGAGAAGAAAAUAAAC